AAGGUCGUAACAAGGUUUCCGUAGGUGAACCUGCGGAAGGAUCAUUACAAAGUAAAUGCCGGUAGGAGGUGGGGUCUUGAUCUGUAAGUGGUAGAGCGAACAGUCCGGCUGCCUCCCGAAAUGUCUUACAUGCCCCCAACAGCCUGAAGGCCGAAUUACAACCCCUUGAUUUAUCUACACUCGUUGCUUUGGGGGAUGCCAGUCCCAAGGUGCCAGGAGCCCUAAAUUCUCUUGCAUUUCAGUGGACGUCUGAGUACUAUAUAAUAUUUCAAAAG
rnacentral:misc_RNA from 1 species